AGAGUUACUGAUGAAAUGCACAUCUAGUGCCAAAUGAAGAGAACUUCCUGCUCACGCUCCGUGCAAUUAAACUGUGGGCAAAAUAUGAAUAAGGUGAACCCCUCAGACCAGUACCAUGUAAUGGGGAUCUUCGCCCCAGGCUCUCCACAGCAGGACACUGCACACACAGGAUCUGCAUCAAUGCCAGCAGUAACGGGAGAGGAGAUCAAACAUGAAGUCACCCCACUCUUCACCCACUUGCUUUCCUGGCCCGAGCAAAUCCCGCACUCCUGACAUCAGCCCUCACGUCCGUCUGCCAUGUCCCAGCGAUCCCCGCAGCUCUCCUCGCCAGUUCUCCCAGGGACAGUUCAUCUUUCCAGUAUGUGAAGGACCAGCAGGGCCACCACAUCAGACGAGCUGUGCUGUCGUCAGGGGCAUUAACUCCCUUCUGCAGCUCCUGAAAACACUGUGCCUGACACACGGCGCUGCAGUGCUGUCUCAUGCCCCCAUCACACUGUUGGCUCCCA